rnacentral:rRNA from 1 species
UACGAAGGGGGCUAGCGUUGUUCGGAAUUACUGGGCGUAAAGCGCGCGCAGGCGGUUUUCCAAGUCAGUGGUGAAAGCCCGGAGCUCAACUCCGGAAAUGCCAUUGAAACUGUAAAACUUGAGGACGAGAGAGGUGAGUGGAAUUCCCAGUGUAGAGGUGAAAUUCGUAGAUAUCAGGAGGAACACCGGUGGCGAAGGCGGGUCUCUGGGCCGAUACUGACGCUGAGGAGCGAAAGCGUGGGGAGCGAACAGG